AUUCCAUAUAGCAUGCUUUCAGUUAGUGCCUUUGGAAAUUUCUAGCAGUUUCUUAUAGAUUAUCAAAAGUCUUUCCAUCUAAUUCAGCUUUUAGACUAUAGCUUAACUUAAUGUGACCGUGAACGCUGUGAUUCAGCAAAUCUAUCCUAAAUAAUGUAUUAUCAAAGAAGAGAACGGAUAUAAGAUUUUUAAAAAACAGAUAGUAAUGUGGUUUCCUUAUUGUUUAUUUGUAUCCCUUCUGUACUUUUUUCAUUCUCCUGUCUUUAUACUCUGUCCCUCUUUUCCUUUCCCUUGCCUUUAUUCUUCUCACAGGGCUCAUAUUUUUCCUUCUGUUAUCUUUUAUCCUGCUCUUCCCUGAGUCCUCUUUUGUCCUCCCUGACCUAUCUUCCCACUUAAAAUACUUUCUUCCUGGCCUCAUGGAGCAUCGCCAUGGUGACUGCAUGAUGUCACUGCAUGGGGAGCUGUUGCCCAGGAAACAGUAUGAUGUCAUUGCACUAGAGACAGUUGCUAUGGUUACUGAGUUGGCUGAGGUAACUGGGAAUAAAGGAGUUGUUAUCAGACCAGAGCCAGGAAAUGUUCCCUUUAAUGGGAAUAAUAAAAAAAAGACACUUUUAAUGUAUUUAUGUUUCAGGGCGGUUUGCCUGUGAUUCAAAGUCCCCAGUUAUUUUUCUGAUGCACUGUGCUCAAUUUGGGCUUCUUUCAGUUGGGCUGAGUGAUCUUGCUCAUCUGUUUCUACUCUUGAAUGUUAUUGUGGACAUCACACCACAGUAAAAUGGAAAAAAGAACUGUGUUGUCCCGUGCUUCUGUGUAAUAUGUGUUCCCACCUGUUGUUGCUGUUUGCUUUUUCCUGUUUGGUUUCUGUGUUUUCUGUGAUGAAUAGUCCAGCCCAGUUAUUAUCCCAGCUGAUGUCAGAGAUACGCUAACAGUGAAUAUUACAUGUCUGAGCUUGCUUCAUCUGCCCCAGGCUCUGUCUGUAAAAGGCAAGCUAUAAUUUGUUUUCCACUUCUUUUCUGCCUUCUACCUGCUUUUUGUUUUUCAUUGUAGUCAUUGCAGGAGUCCCAGGAAAAGUCCAAUGCGAAAAGUGAAGCAGAGAUUAAAUAAAAAGUAGGAGGCAGCUAUUAGAGAUGAAGAAAUAUAUGCAAGAUUGCACUUCACUGAGAGCAAUGUGGAAAUGUGUGUAGCUGAUCGUGUUUCAUGUGAGGAUGCAGGAACGUGAAUAGUGGUGGGUCAGCAGGAAACAGCAAUUGUAAGAGAUGGCAACAAGAUAAAACAGCUAAUGGAGGUGAAAAGUGGCAGUCAGUCAGCACUGAGAGGCUCAUAACGGUCAGGGAUUUAGCAGUACCAAAAUUAGAAGAGCUGAUUUGUUUCUGCAGAGGUUAGACGGUUUGAAGAGGGUGAGUAGUUUAACACAAUUACCACUUUGUCUGUCCUUCUUGUUCAUCUUCUCACAGUAGAACAUGAGGAAACAAACUCUACAGCACCUGUGAAGGUGACACAUCUUUUUAAUGUGCUGGUAUCAUCAAACACACAUUGAAAUGUAGGUGACCAAUCCAUGCCUAAGUUAAAUUCCCAGAAAUAUCCACACCCAUUAAUAUGUCAUCAUUCUAUCAUGCCCUGUCACUCUGAUAUACACAACAAAAUCCCCAUGUAAAUACAGAUGUUAUAUGUACUGGUAAGCGUGUAUACCGUGGACUGAAAUAAUACCUGUAUAGGUGUAAUCAAUAAAACUGUUAAACUCUGAGGUGCUCUAAAAUCCCUUCUAGGAAUGUUCAGCAUUCUUCAAAAUGAUGAAUAAAAUCUAUCCAAAGGCUGCAUCAUAUUGAUCUUCCAUAUCACAGGGAACAUUUAAAUGGUGCUUUUUCAUUUUUCUUUCAUAACAGAAAACAGUUUUCAGGCAAUUGUUCAGCUUUUAUCCUGACCAGGGAUUCCCACUUCUUACUGUUCCCUGUUUCAGAUAAUUUUCUGCUGUUGGAACAGUCAAUAGGUUUGUUUAAAUGUUUGUUGCAAUGCUAUAUUUUUCAUUAUUUCCAAAAAUAAUGUUUCCUUUGAGUUCUCUCCAACAAUGUUUUCUGGCUCUACUGAUAUUCCAUAAGCUUCAUAUUAUAUUUUGUGCAGUGGAAACAUAACAGUGUUAUUUCCUUUUUUUCCUUGUUAAAUUUUCUGGUGAAACUCUGUGGAAACAAGAGGCUACUGUGCAACAAGAGCUCCAGGGACCCUGUAGAGCAAGUUGUAUGUACGUACCAGUCUAUUAUACUACUGGAUUAUGAUCUUUUUCUUCCCCAACUUGAAUUUCUUGUAUCAAAUUAAUCUGUUAAACAUAAAAAUAAUAAUUUAUUUGUUGCUCUUUAUUGCUCAAGUGUAAUCAAAACAUAUCCACAAGGCCUGAAGCUAUCCAUUGUUCAAGAAUGAUUACAUUUAUUUCAAGUAAAAUGAAGUAUGAGUGAUUGGGCUUCUUAUUAGG
ensembl:lncRNA